UGUUUAUGGCCAGGACUCACAGUGCACCAGCACGGUGCCAGCAGGCACUAAGACACUGCAGCUGCAGUUUGCUGUCCUUCCCUGGCCAGGAUCAUUGUACCUCUCCCAAGGACAUCCCCUCCCACCACAAAAUGGGAGAAAGCAACGGCUCCUGCAGAGGAGAACUGGAUGGUCACUGACAUUCCCUGGAGCCCCUCACACGUGGUGGCCUCUGAGCUUCUGCAGGAAGGCCAAGAACAGUGUAUUGAUCUGAUCAGAUUUUCAGCCUCGGUGCAACUACCUGCUAUUUUCAUCCCCAAGACUUUGGAGAAGACAGGACAUCUGCACCAUGUCAGAGCCCUGCCUAAAGGCUGCAAGAUACUCCCUGUUCCCAGUGCCCUCGAUUGAACCACGAGCUGCUGAACUCUCAAACGUGCUUUUUGACCAUGAGAACUGCUCUUUUCUUGCCCAACUGCAUGAUUUGAGGUCAACCAGAUUGAGAAACGAUAAAAGAUUCCUUCAUAAUUAACUGAUGUUAUCAAACUCCAGACAUAAAAGUCAAAUAUUCUGAAACAUCAGGUCCUCCAGUUUAGUUCUGCAGUGUUGUCUCUGAACCCUCCACCUAGGAAGGGAGACACCUCUAGUUUAGAGCUCAGGUACCAGGGAAAUACAACAUUCCUACCUUUCAUCUAUAUGGCAAAUAAGAAUUAAAAGAAACGGUCAUAAUAGUCUAAA